CCCGGGGCUGACGCCUCGGGCUAUUUUAUUUCGCCCCUUCGGGGCU
rnacentral:sRNA from 1 species